UGUAAACACCAGUUCCCAUACAAUCUCCAAAGUUAAGCAACAUUGAGCCUGGUGAGUACCUAGAUGGGUGACCACUUGGGAAUACCAGGUGCUGUAAG